GUUGGAUGGUGGGUCUUACACUCGGUGAAAAAUAUAUGUUAUCCAGAAUUAUUGCCCAAGGGAAGUCCUUGGACAUGCCCUUAGGAAAGAAGGUCAUUCGCUAUAGGAAUCACAUGGGGGUGUUAUAGGUCCAAUUAGAAUGUUCUAUCCUCAUGGCACGUACUCCAUCAUCUUUAUCUUCAUCAUUAUUGGAUUCCUUGCACCAGUGGGAGGGUGGAUGUUGUCGCGUGUAUACCCAGAAAAAACAUGGAUAAAACAUGGAUAAAAAACAUGGAUAAACAUGCGAAGGUGGACCUCCGCGGCUCCCCCUGUUGCCAGUUCUGUCUAUAAAAUGGUUCUCAUGGUACACAUCGAGUGCGAGUGACCGACUGUGUGAUGGCUAAGUGUUUGAUAUUAUUUAUUUUUAUACUAAUUAUGGUGUUUAUUUUUAUAAUGACAGUUUAUGGAAGAAUGACUAGAGAAGAAGAGUGUUGUUUGCGUCAUCUUAGUUCCUGUCUAGACUAAUAAUAAUAUGUAGUUUAUUAUUGUAAUCCUGCUCAUAUUUUUAUUUAUCUAUCUUUAUUUAGUGGAUGUGUGAUUAAGUAUUAGGAAUGUGCUUUAAUUUUGUACGUGGAUACUAUGAAUGGAAUGAAAUGAGGAGAUUAAAUCUGUGUUAUGGUAAAACUUUUCUUUCUCAGCUAUUUCAUUAUGCACAAUAUAUAUUUUUUUGUUUUUUUGUUUUUUAUUUUUUUUUGCUUCUUUCUUUGGUUUUUCAUGUUUGAUUCGAUCACCUGGGCGGGCACAAUGCCAGCCAUCGGAAGCCUAGCAACGGCGUCGAGGAAGC